rnacentral:rRNA from 1 species
AGGGAAUUUUCCGCAAUGGGCGAAAGCCUGACGGAGCAAUGCCGCGUGGAGGGUGAAGGCCUAUUGGGUUGUUAACUCCUUUUCCCAGAGAGGAAACUUGACAGUAUCUGGGGAAUAAGCAUCGGCUAACUCCGUGCCAGCAGCCGCGGUAAUACGGGGGAUGCAAGCGUUAUCCGGAAUUAUUGGGCGUAAAGAGUUCGUAGGUGGCUGUUGAAGCCUACUGUUAAAAUUCAAGGCUUCACCUUGUAUCAGCAGUGGGAACCCAACAGCUAGAGUUUGGUAGGGGUAGGGGGAAUUCCCGGUGUAGCGGUGAAAUGCGUAGAUAUCGGGAAGAACACCGGAGGCGAAGG